rnacentral:ncRNA from 1 species
AGGCGGUCUGUUAAGUCAGAUGUGAAAUCCCCGGGCUCAACCUGGGAACUGCAUUUGAAACUGGCAGGCUUGAGUCUUGUAGAGGGGGUAGAAUUCCAGGUGUAGCGGUGAAAUGCGUAGAGAUCUGGAGGAAUACCGGUGGCGAAGGCGGCCCCCUGGACAAAGACUGACGCUCAGGUGCGAAAGCGUGGGGAGCAAACAGGAUUAGAUACCCUGGUAGUCCACGCUGUAAACGAUGUCGACUUGGAGGUUGUUCCCUUGAGGAGUGGCUUCCGGAGCUAACGCGUUAAGUCGACCGCCUGGGGAGUACGGCCGCAAGGUUAAAACUCAAAUGAAUUGACGGGGCCCGCACAAGCGGUGGAGCAUGUGGUUUAAUUCGAUGCAACGCGAAGAACCUUACCUACUCUUGACAUCCAGAGAACUUAGCAGAGAUGCUUUGGUGCCUUCGGGAACUCUGAGACAGGUGCUGCAUGGCUGUCGUCAGCUCGUGUUGUGAAAUGUUGGGUUAGUCCCGCAACGAGCGCAACCCUUAUCCUUUGUUGCCAGCGAUUCGGUCGGGAACUCAA